UAAAAAAUAAACAAAAGUUAACAAAUAACACAAUGUAUUCUGCUUACCACAGAUGUAGCGUCCGUUUCUCUCGUGUGCCGUGGUGGCGGCGGCGGCGGCGGCGGUUUUUGGUGAAAGUAACAGUUAUACACGGGCACUGACGCUUAACCCUUAAAUUGAACAUUGCCAUAUCAUUGCGUGGGUAUACAAAGAUAUAAAUAGACAUGGCGACAUAAUCUAGGGAAUACCUGUGGUAUCACAUGCGUUGACGUGUACUUCCUGUGCCUGUGGGACUCAUAUUAUCAACAUGACGAAUUUAGAGCGGAAUAUUCAUUAUCUUUACGUAACUUCUGUGUUUUUCACAACGCUUGUCAAUGUCGAAGGCGUCCCCACUGAGCAGUGUCAGUAUGGGCUAUACUUCGACACGGCGCUGUCCCGGUGCGAUAGCUGUGUUCAACUCUGCCCCCGGGUAGGGUACGAAGCGAUACCCCAGCCCUGCUCAGCAUACUGCAUGACAACCACGUCAGCACCGACCACGACAACAACCAGCCCAGGGAUGGAAGUCCCCCCAACACUGAGCACGACUGCCAUCAUCACCAUCGCCCUGUGCUGUAUGUUGUGUGUUGUGAGUGUUGUGGGCUUCAUGUGGCUGUUCGUCCCAGCAUGUCAACCUUCCCGUAACUCCCGCGAGAAGGAAGACUUGGACGAAGAGGAUGUGCCACUCGGGGGCGUCCAGGAAACUAGCACUGAACACCACGGAACUGUCUUGUGUGUGUGAUGCGCAAUGGGCGUGACGCUGGAUCAGUCCGAUGUCGUCAAGUCCAGCAGCUUCGUGGUCAUCCCAGCUUCUGUCAAUGACAAUGAGCCAUGGGUAACACUCAACAUGUAUGUAUAUAGCAAAUUCUUACAUGUGUGUAUGGGCGUUUUAAUGCAUGAGUAAUUAUGUACUGUCAAUCCCAGAUGGGACGAUUCACCGAUACAUCGUGAUGCUCCGUAACCACUCGACAUAUCAAUACGAAACUAGAAGUACGGCUGCCUUUGCACCAUACGUCAGUGCAGUGGCAUUUUCAAGAUUGCUGCAAACAAAUCUACUUGUUUCGGCAUGAGGACUGAAUAUACAACGGCAAGCCUGACUGACUCAUCUGCUCGUGGAAUCCUUUUUGUUCCAUGAUACGUAUCGUAACUCUGUGUGUCGUCCCACUGUGCGUGUCGGUACUGUAUGGUGCUUCUCGCCUGUAGUAUAGCGCCUACCUAACUCAUCACAGACAACGUGUUUGUACUGUGUGACGGGUGUAUUGGGAGUUUACUAUUAUAUGAUGUACAUGGGACAUCGUUGGUUGCUUGUUCAUUAUUUAAAGACAAUAAAUACAUAUGGAAUGUUUAUUGAAAAGUGUUCUAUACUACUAAAAAUGUAACCAAAAAGGAGGACCACCCGUUCCUUUCAUAUCACUAUAGUUAAUCUGCUAUACGAUGACAGUUUACUACAGUACCAGGAAAGCAUCGGGUGGAACUUAACAUUUUGCUGGUAGUAUAUUUACACAUACAUGAGGGGAGAGAUCACGAUAUAUAUUCCUGGUUUAACGCUUGCUGAAUAUGAUAUUCAAAUUGCGAAAGGUUUUAGCAUUUCAGAACCCAUUUCACAAUUAAUGUGUAAAUGUUUAUUACAUUUUGUUUCAUAUUUAUGAAAAACAGAACAAAUUAUUAAAUAAAAAGCCCUCUCCAUAAAUAUCAACAGAAUGUACCAAAAAAACAAUGCAUGAUGGGGCAGGUGUAUAGUCCAUGGAAGCAUGCUAAGCAUUUUAAUUAAGCUCAGUGUUCCAAAUUAAUUAGGUGUAAUCUUAUAGGUAAAUAUCAUGUAGAAGUUGAAUAUUAACAUAUUCAUAUAGAUGAAAAUAAAGUAAUUAACUGUAGCAAUUAUAUCUUAACUACGUUUGUGAGGUUUAUAAUAAAGGUUAAACCAUACUAGAUUGAUAAUUUGUCUUUAGGAAUCGCAACCUCCCCCAAUGACUGGAAAAUAUGUUUUUGAGAUUAACAGUAAUUACAAGUAAAUUAUAUAUUAAUAUUGGUCGAGGGAAACUGUAAAUAAAGUAAAAAAAACACUCGAAUCUUUCAUAUUAUUAUAGUUAAUCUGUCGUGCCAUGGUUAUUUCAUAUUGAAUAAGAGUCAACUUUAUAAUAUGUAUUAUUUGUUAAAACAAUAAUGUCUUAUGUUAUAAGCCUGUAAGGACGAAUAACAAGUAUUAUUCAUUCGUGUGUUGCUUUCAUCCCCCAUCAUGCAAUGUUUGGUAUAACAGUAAAAUGAAAAAAAACCAAGAUCAGGUGACCUCACUUUAUAUAGAAUGUAUAUAUAUAUAUAUAUAUAUAUAGAUCGAUUUGUAUAAAUCUAAAACAUGUUUGUUAGCUGUGUCAAUUUUGAUGAAGUCAUUUGCAAUACAUUUUUAAAGGCGGAAAAGAAUAUAAAUUAUUUAUUUGUAUAUGAGACGUUUGUAUGUGAAAAAAUAGUAUACGCAUUACCUGUGCGGGUCUGCAACAAAAUACAUAAAACCACCUCCGUAUUGAAAUUUCCAUUACGUUGGUUUUUUUAUGUAUAUUUACCCCACCUCGGAGUCAUGUGUAGUUUUAAACAUGACACGUAAAGGUCCUUCAGAUAACAUAGGAUGAACUGUGCAUAUUCAAUGAGAUCUGCAAUAUUCAAGAACAACAAUCGAAGACAGAUAUGUCAAAGAUAUGAGUUUGAGCCACCGAAAUAUGUUGUUUAAUAUAACUAAUAAUAAUAAGUGUAUUGCUUUUUAAAUAUUAAUUGUGACUGGUGAUAGAAAACAACCUAUUGUGAAGUGACUGACGUAAUACGGAGGUGUUUGAUAAAUUAUGGUUCCUUAAAAACAAAAGCUGUCUCUAGGUCUAUUCGCCCCAACCUCUCUGUCCCUGCAGUGUUGCAAUAUUACACUAACUGGAGGAAACGCGUUUUUAUUUUCGGAUUACGGAUCAGCUGGCCGGAUAGAAAAACAAACGGCCAAAAUAUAAAUGUAACUCUAAACUAAUUAUUUCCAGACCUUUUUGUUUUUUAUUGAUAAGAAAAUUGAAAUUACACUAGCGCAAAUGUGAUAUCAAGAAACAAGUUUGAAAAAUUAAAAAUUAAUUAAUCAAAACCAUAGGAACUUCUCUCGCCAUUGUACCCAUCCAAUUAGAGUACAAGAAGUAAAGUAUUGAUGUUCCUGGAACUGCAUCGAUCGUAAACAGCGUGCCGGGCCACGCGAUGUCAAGCCAGAACAUAUAUAUUCACAAACAUCGAUUUAGCAACCUUUCUUUCACCUGACCUGGCUAAUCUAUUGGUAAAACAAUCCAUACACUAUAAGACUGUUUCCUAAGUCGUGACCUCCCCACGCCAACCGUGCAUGGUGCGUUCCCCGAUGGACGAGCAGGAUGCAGGAUAAAGAAAUAGAGUUGACAUGUUGAAAAUAUGAUGUUAUGAAAUAAUAUAUUCUAUCAAGUGCCUUCAAAUAUACAUUUAGAAUUCACCCCCGUAAAACUUUAAUAUUUAUAUAUUUCUUUUGCAUUGGGAACUGUCAAAAUUUACCCUUACAAUCUCUAUAAACAUUGUUAUUGUAUACUGGAGUCUCUUAAGGGAACACGCUUAAGUAUCAAAAAUAAAAUCUUGCUCAACACCUUUUAAAUAUACGUAAUGGGUCAGAAAUGUUUUCGGUGAAUUACCCUUUGAUCAUUUUAGGUUGGUGCUUCAAGUUGUUGUAGUUAUAGGGGAGAUAAUCCUUGUUUUUAGUUGUACGUUUAUGGAGAUUGUAUGCAUCACAUAUCUGUCUGUAAACAUAUUUCAAUAUGUUUAUACGGGCCGUUCAAUAUGUUUAUAACAACGUUUAUAAAAAAACAACAUGUCAAGUUCAAAAUGACUAUGACCUUUUGUACGUGAAUUUCCAGGAAUGCUGAUCACGUUAUUAUUCCAGGGGUACGGGUUGACUUGUUUUACACGGGUAUUCACGGGUAUACACGGGUAUAUCUUAUACAAUAGUUCACCUUUGUCUGCGCAUCCUGUAAGUCCCAGAUGGAUCCGUCAUGUCACGUGUUACAUGUCGUAUGUCUUGAACGUUAUUUCGUGGUAUCUUUAUAGCGAGUAGCGGUUGACUCCCAAGAAGCAAAAUCAUUACCUCUUUCGCCUCUCUGAUUUUGGCUAGAAACUAUACAGAAUAAUGUACAUGAUAUUAAAGCGGAUUGAUUCGUUGAAAAUAUCUAAAUGUUUAACAUUGAAUUCGUUGAAAGUGAAUUUAAAGAUUAUUUCCUUUUCUCAUGUGUUUCAAGAAUACGAGAAUCCUACUUUCAUUCUUAGGAUUUAUUAUCUAUAUAAUUCUCUACCCUUUAUUUGGUCAUAUAAUACGAAGAGGUGGUGAUAUUCACUUCUUCGGAAGCCACGCCGUAGACGAGACGUCAGUGUGUUGGGAGGUUAUAGUAUGGAGCUUAUCGCAUCUCUGUAAGCUGAUCAUGUACACUGAUAGGUGAAGCGAGAAUUCCGGCGACUAGACCAAAGACAGUUUUCCCACUUUUACAACAUAUGAUAGAAGCGUUUGUAAUUGUUCUUAAUUACUAACACCUUAUAAAUGCGUGCUAUUUUAAAAAUAUAUUUGUUAAGUAACUUUUGGUCCCGUGGAACUGAUCUAUUGACUCCAUGUGUACUGUGUUAUUGAUGUGUAUAUUAUAUACUGUAACUAUGGCAACACUUUGUGUCAUUCUGAUUGGCUCAAACUAUGUAUUAACAGUGAAUUUUACCCCCAAAACUAUUUACAGAUAGUUGUUAUAUUUUCUAGAAAAGUAUGGCCAGAUUAAAGUGUAACCUUGAUAUACAAAAUAAAAAAAAGUAUAAACUCAUUUUAAGACCUCAGGGUUGGCAUUUUAGUAAGCUGCUGGGAAACGUUUGUGUCACUACUUAAACUUUCUCUAACACUGUUUUAAAUAAAUGUAACUCAAGACAUCAGUAAAUUGGCAAUUCAGAUGAACACAUUUAGUCGGUUACGUUCCUAUGGAUAGCCAUACACAACUGUUUACAUUCUCAAUAUAAGGCGUACCAAAUUAUCAGAACUUGACGAAAAAGAGGGUUUGAUUAAUUAAAAGUCAGUUUUGCGUUGUUAAAAUGAAGUUCAUCAAUGAAAAGGCACAUUCUAGUGGUCGUAGAUUCUGGUAAUUAGACAUAUAUGGACCAUUGCAUGCAAUGUGGCCAUGAUACCUCAAGGUCACUUGGUUUCAAGCUGUGCCGAAAUCUUAACUCACUUCAGAGUGUAUUAGUAUUGUUUUAGGUAAAGUGUAUUUCGGGAAGUAAGACUCACUAAGGCGAACACGUGGCACGAAAUUAUGGCAGAUGAUAGUGGUAGUUAUACAAACGUUCUCUCAGCAGCUGCAUGCGUGUUUACUACUCUGUGAUUUCAAUGUGGGUGCUUUACGUUUAUGAACUCUGAGAAGACCUUAUUACAUCAUUAUCACUUGUAAUAAAAUGGCCGCAUUAAAGAAAUCUUGUUUCUUGUCGUCAUCGGGCACAAACAUUGCCUGACACGUGAUACUGUAGCUCACCUGACCGAAGGUAAAGUGAGCUCAUGUCGUUGCCUGUUUGGGCGCCUUCAUUUGUUUGAAAUUCGAUUUUCAAUAUGUUCGCCAACACAGCCAUUUUGAGAACCCUGUUUAUGACCUUUAGCCAGAGAUUUGUUUUGUAAAGUGAAUCUAAAUUUAAUAUCUUGUAAAUUUUUAAUGUAACUACAUAUGCUUCUAACGGUUGUGCCAUAAUUUCACUAUUGGACUUGAUUUGACAUUCGAACUUCACCAUGCCCUUCCAAUCUCUCAAAUGCUGAUGACUGUAUGCCUUAUAUUGCCUAUAGGCGAGCUACAGUGUCAUGGCACUAUAGUUACAUAAGCAUAUUUCGUUUGUGAUUCCUUUGUUUGAAGAAGUGCAUAUUACCAUGCGGUAAAUUUCGCAGUGCCGGUUGUGGCACAGCAGAUGGAGUUUAAAGAUAUAUAAAGUAACUAAUACAAAAUGUGUGAGAAACAAGAUUAAUUUAAUGUGGCCUAAUGUUGAUGUUUGACGUGUUAAACAAACUGUUUUAGAUGGAUGCAUAGGUCCAUAGUCCAUAUAUACUAUUUAUCACACAUAUUAAUAUCAUGUUUUAUUAUUUAUACGAACAAAUGGACCAUGUUUCUUGAUAACGGUACAUGUAUUUUGUCUCUCUGUCUACACAUAAUGUACCGCCUAGCCCACCGGGCCGGGUGACUGGGGCCUCCAUCCUCCAUCCAUACAUCUUACAACAUGUCUGUCAACGUUUAACGAUUACGCUGGUAAUUGGGGGCAAUACCUUCAUCCCUUUAGCGUUUUAUCUCAUUCAAAGGGGGCGGUCGGAUAGCCUAGUGGUUAAAGCGUUCGCUCGUCACGCCGAAGACCCGGGUUCGAGUCUCGACAUGGGUACAAAGUGUGAAGCCUGACGUGAUAUUGCUGGAAUAUUGCUAAAAGCGGCGUAAAACCACACUCACUCACAUUCAAAUGUCAUCCAUUGCAUCAAGAUUGUUCUUUACAGCUGCUUAAAUACAUGGUCAUUAGUUAAGCAACCAUAAACUUAUUAAGUGGACAUGCACAUAGGAAUCUCUUAAAAGCUAUUUUCUAUUCAUAGAUUAAAUCAUAAGAAGGUAUAUUUAUAUAUAUAGUGCAUCGUUGGUUGUGAUAAUGAGAAUUCAGUCGGGUACAGUCGACUCGCCUGGUAUAGAUCUAUUGUUUGUCUCCAAGGCUGGCAUCGUGCGCUGAUAUUGGUUGUGUCCUCCCAUGUUGUGUUCUGCAGAACAAAAUGGCGCAUCUAGUUUCUGUUGUAAAGGUGAUUGAGGAUGGGUCUAGCGUCCAACCCAACAGACACAGAAGAAUUAGAUGAUGCUCUGAAAUAUUAUUUUAGUUCUCUGUACAUAUCAGAUAUGAAAGGUCACACGUAUUGAUCAACACACUUGCUAUAAAAAGGUCAAAGGCGAAGGUCACAAGAUAGAAAUAAACCAUUAAAAUGUUUGAGGUUACACUUUCUCAAAGAGUAUUCUUGCAUUUAUCAUGAAACUUGGUGCAUACCUUCUUUUGGUAAAAAAAACGUCAAGGACAAGGUCAGUAUUCAGGUUCGUAAUUGUCAUUCAUUGCCAAUUUCUGUUGCGCUGGAACUGGUAUGAUACUGAGACGUGGUACUUGGUACAUCUGAAGAAGUUGCCUUCAUUAAGGUCAAGGCCUAGAAGUAGUGUUUUCGGACUGGAAGUACAUGGCAUGUUAAGAUUUUGGGAGCUUUGGGGAAAUGAAGGGGGCUGCUAAUGAACUUGCAAACACAUCUAGUUCUCUUACGGGUACAGUAAAUCCUUAUUUAAAUUUUAUACACCAUGUGGGCCAAUAUUGGGCCAAUCAUACAUUGUUUUUUGACCGCCACUGUAGGUGAUUUUACUCAUUGACACAACGGAUUAUUAUCAUGAGAGUAUGUUGAUCUUGGCACAUGUUCCAAGGUGAAGCUCACGGGAUGACUGCUCACUUGAACGUUUGCGGUUAGUCUGUCUCAAAAUGUCUCAAAAUGUAUUGAAGGUUUAAUUAUAUAAUUGGUCAAGCUAGUAUUAGACCACUGUAUGUGUCACACAUUUCAACCUGCUGACCGCCUAGUGGUAGACAGUCCGCCCGGAGAAGGGAAGGUCCGGGGUUCAAUCCCCAGCCGCGUCAUACCAAAAGACGUUAAAAGGUGGUACUUGUUGUUACCCUGUCUGGCGCUCGACAUUAAGGGUCUAAAACAAGGACUGGUCGGCUCGGAGUCAGUAUACUGUGUCUGAGUGGGGUAUUCAUGUUAAACUGCAGCAUGGUAUUUCAUCGUUAAACCCCAUUUCACCUCACCCCACCAUUACAACCUGCAGGUGUAUUCCAAACAAGAUCGAAAGUGCAUAGAACCUUCUCAUUGUGUAAACCGCUCCGUACGGAUCCGGUUGUCGUCAAGACGACUAAACUGGAUCGUGUCAUCGUACCCAAUGUGGAAGUUUUAUCUUAUUAUGCUACUCGAAAGAAGUUAAGGACCGAUCGAUCCUUUCACAUUACUACAGUUAAUCUGUCAUAUGAAAAAAUCGGGUGGUCUUUUACUUCUUUUGAGAAGUAUAUGAACCAAUUUUAUGUCAAGCCCCUACUCGACUAUUUGCAUGCCGCCGUGAUAUACCGUAUUCGACGUAAUAAGCGCACAGGGCGCUCUCAAAAUUAGAAAUAGGGGGCUCUUAUUAGAAUAUGAUUUUGGUGAGAUUAAAAACGAGGUUGAAAGAUU